rnacentral:rRNA from 1 species
AUUCCAGCUCCAAUAGCGUAUAUUAAAGUUGUUGCAGUUAAAAAGCUCGUAGUUGGAUUUCUGGUUGAAGCGACCGGUCGGGCGUUGAUUCGUCUGCACUGGAGUCGGUUUUGGCCAUCCUCUAGGAAAGUGCGUCUGGUAUUAAGUUGUCGGGCGUAUGAUCCUGGUCUUUUACUGUGAAAAAAUUAGAGUGUUUAAAGCAGGCCUUCGCCUUGAAUACAUUAGCAUGGAAUAAUAAGAUAGGACUUUGGUCUAUUUUGUUGGUUUGCAGACCGAAGUAAUGAUUAAUAGGGAUAGUUGGGGGUAUUUAUAUACCGAUGUCAGAGGUGAAAUUCUUAGACCAGCGGAAGACGAACCACUGCGAAAGCAUUUGCCAGGGAUGUUUUCAUCG